rnacentral:rRNA from 1 species
GAGUACCUACGGGACUCAGCAGUGGGUACUAUUGGUCAAUUUACGCAAGCCUGACCCAGCAACGCCGCGUGAAGGAAGAAGGCUUUCGGGUUGUAAACUUCUUUUCUCAGGGACGAAGAAAGUGACGGUACCUGAGGAAUAAGCCACGGCUAACUACGUGCCAGCAGCCGCGGUAAUACGUAGGUGGCAAGCGUUAUCCGGAUUUAUUGGGUGUAAAGGGCGUGUAGGCGGGAGCGCAAGUCAGAUGUGAAAACUCAGGGCUCAACCCUGAGCCUGCAUUUGAAACUGUGUUUCUUGAGUGCUGG